ensembl:lncRNA
CAAUCUCUGCAUUGCUGUGAGAAGCCAUCCAGCUCUUCUCUCUGUGCUUACCGUAGUUCCUGAUGGCAGUUGCUGCCAGCUCCAGCACUGGCUGCUCUCUGCACGCUGCCCGUUUGGAUCUCUGCCUGUCCCUUUGGAAACAAGCUGUAGUGCACCGAGACAUUGUGCCGUGGACAAGCAUAGGGUGGGCUGAGUAGCUGAUGCUGACAGUGCCCUCUCCUUCCCAUUCAUCUGUUGUCUUAGAGCACGUUUUCUGGCUCAGGAGGGCUCGACUUCGGGUGUCCUCGAGCAAAGUGCUUUGAUCUAGCAGGGUGCACUGUAGUUCUUGUUGGAGUUAAGGCACACAUCAGGCAUAACGUGCGAAGCUUGCCUGUACAGGACCUGGAGGAUGCAGUCCCUGUUCUCAUGGCUGUGUUGAUUCUGUAAAACAGCAGUUUGGGAAGUAGCUGCCUGCUGCCACCCUGCAUCCUCUGCUCCUGUGUCACGGUGUCCCGGAUCCCCAGCAGCGUAGGAACUUCUUCGGAUAGGAGAGGGCUGAAGGAUGUGGGCCCAGGAAGCAGCAGUGUUCCUGGUGGGCAUAACGCCACGCCUGAUUGCUGUUCAAACCAUGGUUGCACCGGUGGUGGGGGGUAAACCUCUGCCCAGUGCCAGAGCUCUGCUGGAGUCACCUACAGAGGUUAUUUUUACCCUUUUUGGGCUUUGUCUUUUGGAUAGCGUUUAGUAGUGUACAAAAUUAUAAGCACAUUUUCAAUGAUGUGUAUUAAAGAGGCACCUUUUAUUUGUAUUAAUCACCUUUGAUAGACAAUUUGGUGCCUGCAGUUCUUGGUAAAUUGUAAAUGUCUCACUUUGGGUGUAUAAAUUGUUAACCCUUUCGAACUUAUCAAAAAUGGCUAAGUUUAAAAAAAACAAAAAUGCUUAGGAUAGGAAAUUAGCAGCUUAAUGACAAUACACUUAGUCCACUGCAAGUGCCCUCAUCCUUCCUAGCUGCAGAGUUGUUUGCUUUCCAAAGCUGAAACUUGAGCAUGGUCAACCAUUUUUUCUCAGUAACAAAGGCAGUUUUGCAUGGCAGUUCUCUCGCUGUACUCAAAUGCAUGCACUUAUUAUCUAUGCAAGCAUCUAAUAUGAACCACAGUCCGUGCUUUCAGUACCCAGAGCUGCUCGGUGGGCACCGGGGCAUGCUUUGACUCUGUGCUUCUGUUCCUUGGUGCAGCGCCGUGUUGGCACACAGGAGCAUGUACCUGGUUUCCUGCUUUAUUUGCACAUCUUUUGAUUCUUUCCUUUGCAGAAUUUGGGAUAACUGACAAGGCUGGAGUGCAGCGUAAUGUCAAAGGAAUUCGAAACGUUGAAAUGAGAACAAACUGGUUUUCUGUAUUGUAUUGUUUUCCUUUUUUUUUCCUUUUUUCCUUUUUUUUGGUGUUUGUUUUGUUUUUAAAACAGGGCAAUCCUGGUCAGCGUUCUGUACGUAGCCUGCUGCUUUGUGUACCUUUGCUGACACACUCUGGGUGGUGAGAAGGGGCUGUGGGGCAGAGCCGUGCCCCUAUGGGCCGUGCCCGGGGCUCAGCCAGCAUGGAGAGGGGUGGGAAGUGACAUUCCAAUUGGUUUUGCUGUCAUCUUUUUUUUUUCCUAUCUUUGUCAUUGCCUCCUAAUCUGAAACAAUUUGGCGGCAUCCAACGUUACCUGUGGAGGGAACUGAAAUUUAGUUUUAAUCUGUGGUGAGAUGAAAGUCCUACUACGUGGUUUCCUUAACAAAAGCACCAUGAAGCAUCUACUAUUAGGAGCUUUACUUUGUAAAAUAAAGAAAGAAGAGUGGGAAUAUGAGGAAUUGGAAUUCAGUGGAGAAAAAAAAAGGGGGGGAAAAAUGUAAUAAAAUACAAUAAAUUUAUUACUAGGCCUCCUGCCUCAGUGAGUGUUUUUCAGUCCCCUGUGGCCACCCCUCAGCACGGUCCCUUGGGGGUGGGACAGCCCUGCACCCUGUGUCCCUGGGACAUGCUUUGCUCCUAAACCUUGC